AGAGUUUGAUCCUGGCUCAGAAUCAACGCUGGCGGCGUGCCUAACACAUGCAAGUCGCACGAGAAAGGGUAGCAAUACCUGAGUACAGUGGCGCACGGGUGAGUAACACGUGAAUUAUCUACCUUCGAGUGGGGAAUAACUGGGAGAAAUCUCAGCUAAUACCGCAUAACACCUACGGGUCAAAGCAGCAAUGCGCUUGAAGAGGAGUUCGCGGCAGAUUAGUUAGUUGGCGGGGUAAUGGCCCACCAAGACGAUGAUCUGUAUCCGGCCUGAGAGGGCGCACGGACACACUGGAACUGAAACACGGUCCAGACUCCUACGGGAGGCAGCAGUGGGGAAUUUUGCGCAAUGGGGGAAACCCUGACGCAGCAACGCCGCGUGGAGGAUGAAAUCCCUUGGGAUGUAAACUCCUUUCGAUCGGGACGAUUAUGACGGUACCGGAAGAAGAAGCCCCGGCUAACUUCGUGCCAGCAGCCGCGGUAAUACGAGGGGGGCAAGCGUUGUUCGGAAUUAUUGGGCGUAAAGGGCGCGUAGGCGGUUUGACAAGUCUGAUGUGAAAUCUCUGGGCUCAACCCAGAGUCUGCAUUAGAAACUGUCGGGCUUGAGUAUGGGAGAGGUGAGUGGAAUUUCCGGUGUAGCGGUGAAAUGCGUAGAUAUCGGAAGGAACACCUGUGGCGAAAGCGGCUCACUGGACCAUAACUGACGCUGAGGCGCGAAAGCUAGGGGAGCAAACAGGAUUAGAUACCCUAGUAGUCC
rnacentral:rRNA from 1 species